rnacentral:rRNA from 1 species
GACGAACGCUGGCGGCGUGCUUAACACAUGCAAGUCGAACGGAAAGGCCCUUCGGGGUACUCGAGUGGCGAACGGGUGAGUAACACGUGGGUGAUCUGCCCUGCACUUUGGGAUAAGCCUGGGAAACUGGGUCUAAUACCGAAUACACCUUGCUGGUCGCAUGAUCUGGUGGGGGAAAGCUUUUGCGGUGUGGGAUGGGCCCGCGGCCUAUCAGCUUGUUGGUGAGGUUAUGGCUUACCAAGGCGACGACGGGUAGCCGGCCUGAGAGGGUGACCGGCCACACUGGGACUGAGAUACGGCCCAGACUCCUACGGGAGGCAGCAGUGGGGAAUAUUGCACAAUGGGCGCAAGCCUGAUGCAGCGACGCCGCGUGAGGGAUGACGGCCUUCGGGUUGUAAACCUCUUUCAGCAGGGACGAAGCGCAAGUGACGGUAC